GACGAACGCUGGCGGCGUGCCUAAUACAUGCAAGUAGAACGCUGAAGGAGGAGCUUGCUUCUCUGGAUGAGUUGCGAACGGGUGAGUAACGCGUAGGUAACCUGCCUGGUAGUGGGGGAUAACUAUUGGAAACGAUAGCUAAUACCGCAUAAUAGCAGUUGUUGCAUGAUAACUGUUUGAAAGGUGCAAUUGCACCGCUACCAGAUGGACCUGCGUUGUAUUAGCUAGUUGGUGGGGUAACGGCUCACCAAGGCGACGAUACAUAGCCGACCUGAGAGGGUGAUCGGCCACACUGGGACUGAGACACGGCCCAGACUCCUACGGGAGGCAGCAGUAGGGAAUCUUCGGCAAUGGACGGAAGUCUGAACGAGCAACGCCGCGUGAGUGAAGAAGGUUUUCGGAUCGUAAAGCUCUGUUGUAAGAGAAGAACGAGUGUGAGAGUGGAAAGUUCACACUGUGACGGUAUCUUACCAGAAAGGGACGGCUAACUACGUG
rnacentral:rRNA from 1 species